rnacentral:rRNA from 1 species
GUGCACCAGGCGCGAAAACUUUACAAUGCGAGCAAUCGUGAUAAGGAAACCCUGAGUGCCUGUCAAUGCAGGCUGUUCUGGUGUCUAACACACACCAGGAGAAAGGGCGGGGCAAGACCGGUGCCAGCCGCCGCGGUAAUACCGGCUGCUCGAGUGAUAGCCACUUUUACUGGGCUUAAAGCGUUCGUAGCUUGGUCGUUAAGUCUCUGGGGAAAUCUUUUGGCUCAACCAAAAGGCGUCUCAGGGAUACUGGCGAUCUUGGAACCGGGAGAGGUAAGACGUACUUCGGGGGUAGGAGUGAAAUCUUGUAAUCCCCGAGGGACGACCGAUGGCGAAGGCAUCUUACCAGAACGGCUUCGACAGUGAGGGACGAAAGCUGGGGGAGCAAACCGGAUUAGAUACCCCCGUAGUCC